rnacentral:snRNA from 1 species
GGAUGUGAGGGUAAUCUGGCUGUGACAUCUGUCACCCAAUUCAUUGCCAAGGUUGAGUCCACUGAUCUGGCUCACCAGACAGGGUCCCUCCCUCCUUUACCACUCCAUGAGCAUCCCUCCUAUUGCUAUAUGCGUGAAGAGGAUGACCUUCCCAGUAGAGAAGGACUCCUCUUUGGUCAAGAGCAUAAGAGUAGCUGCACUCUCCUGCUAGAACCUCCAAACAACCUCUCAAGGUUCAUUUGUAGGAGAAAGUGGGGUGGAUCAAGCUUCCAAGACUCCAGAAACAUCCGAAUGAAGUGCUGCAUGUGGCAGUCUGCCUUUC